rnacentral:rRNA from 1 species
AUUGAACGCUGGCGGCAGGCUUAACACAUGCAAGUCGAGCGGGGUGAUGGUGCUUGCACUAUCACUUAGCGUCGGACGGGUGAGUAAUGCUUAGGAAUCUGCCUAUUAGUGGGGGACAACAUCUAGAAAGGGAUGCUAAUACCGCAUACGUCCGACGGGAGAAAGCAGGGGAUCACUUGUGCCCUUGCGCUAAUAGAUGAGCCUAAGUCGGAUUAGCUAGUUGGUGGGGUAAAGGCCUACCAAGGCGACGAUCUGUAGCGGGUCUGAGAGGAUGAUCCGCCACACUGGGACUGAGACACGGCCCAGACUCCUACGGGAGGCAGCAGUGGGGAAUAUUGGACAAUGGGGGGAACCCUGAUCCAGCCAUGCCGCGUGUGUGAAGAAGGCCUUAUGGUUGUAAAGCACUUUAAGCGAGGAGGAGGCUCUUUUGGUUAAUACCCAAGAUGAGUGGACGUUACUCGCAGAAUAAGCACCGGCUAACUCUGUGCCAGCCGCCGCGGUAA